rnacentral:ncRNA from 2 species
CCAUCAAUUAAGGGGUGCCUCAAAAUAACGGGCUGAGAACAUACCCUGGACCUGAUCCUGAUAAUGCAGGCGUAGGAAUCAAUGAUUUAACAGAU